UACAGGGGGUGCAAACGUUGCUCGGAAUUAUUGGGCGUAAAGCGCGCGUAGGCGGCUACCUAAGUCGGAUGUGAAAGCCCCUGGCUUAACUGGGGAAGUGCACCCGAAACUGGGUAGCUAGAGUGCAAAAGAGGGUCGCGGAAUUCCCAGUGUAGAGGUGAAAUUCGUAGAUAUUGGGAGGAACACCGGUGGCGAAGGCGGCGACCUGGGUUGACACUGACGCUGAGGAGCGAAAGCAUGGGGAGCGAACAGG
rnacentral:rRNA from 1 species